rnacentral:siRNA from 1 species
UAUUCGCAUAUGGUGUUUUCAC